rnacentral:rRNA from 1 species
UACGGAGGGUGCAAGCGUUAUCCGGAUUCACUGGGUUUAAAGGGUGCGUAGGCGGACAGGUAAGUCAGUGGUGAAAUCUCUGGGCUUAACCCAGAAACUGCCGUUGAUACUAUUUGUCUUGAAUAUCCUGGAGGUAGGCGGAAUAUGUCAUGUAGCGGUGAAAUGCUUAGAUAUGACAUAGAACACCGAUAGCGAAGGCAGCUUACUACAGGAUGAUUGACGCUGAGGCACGAAAGCGUGGGGAGCAAACAGGAUUAGA